UACGGAGGAUGCGAGCGUUAUCCGGAUUUAUUGGGUUUAAAGGGUGCGUAGGCGGGUUAUCAAGUCAGCAGUAAAAUCGUGGGGCUCAACCCCAUCCAGCCGUUGAAACUGGGGAUCUAGAGUGUGCGAGAGGUAUGCGGAAUGCGUGGUGUAGCGGUGAAAUGCAUAGAUAUCACGCAGAACUCCGAUUGCGAAGGCAGCUUACUAAGCCAUAACUGACACUGAAGCACGAAAGCGUGGGUAUCGAACAGG
rnacentral:rRNA from 1 species